rnacentral:tmRNA from 1 species
AUAGUCGCAAACGACAAUCAAUAUAAAGCACUAGCAGCUUAAUAACCUGCCUAGAGCCUUCUCUCCCUAGCUUCCGCUCUUAAGACGGGGAUAAAGAGGAGUCAAACCCAAAAGAGAUCGCGUGGAUGCCUAGCUUGGGGUUGAAGCGUUAAAUUUAAUCAAGCUAGCUUAUUUGUGGCGUGUCUGUCCGCAGCAAGUAAGUGAAUUUAAAGACUAGACUAAGCAUGUAGUGCCGCGGAUGUAGAAAUUUCGGACGCGGGUUCAACUCCCGCCAGCUCCACCA